GCGGAUUUAGCUCAGUUGGGAGAGCGCCAGACUGAAGAUUGUUAAUUUCGGUCAACUGUUAUCUGGAGGUCCUGUGUUCGAUCCACAGAAUUCGCA
rfam:Kazachstania africana CBS 2517 chromosome 10, complete genome